CAUUCAAGGGUGGAGCGGGCCUGUGCUGAUUUUUGCCACGGUGAUAUUUCUAAAUUAUGACUAUCACCGGGUGGAAAUUUGGCACAGGCCCGGUCCACCCUG
rfam:Caenorhabditis brenneri strain PB2801 C_brenneri-6.0.1_Cont34.27, whole genome shotgun sequence.